GAUGAACGCUAGCGGCAGGCCUAACACAUGCAAGUCGAGGGGUAGAGGAAGCUUGCUUCCUUGAGACCGGCGCACGGGUGCGUAACGCGUAUGCAAUCUACCUUAUACAGAGGGAUAGCCCAGAGAAAUUUGGACUAAUACCUCAUAGUAUUAUGAAAUCGCAUGGUUUUAUAAUUAAAGUUCCAACGGUAUAAGAUGAGCAUGCGUCCCAUUAGUUAGUUGGUAAGGUAACGGCUUACCAAGACGAUGAUGGGUAGGGGUCCUGAGAGGGAGAUCCCCCACGCUGUUCCUGAGACACGGACCAGACUCCUACGGGAGGCAGCAGUGAGGAAUAUUGGGCAAUGGACGCAAGUCUGAACCAGCCAUGCCGCGUGCAGGAUGACGGUCCUAUGGAUUGUAAACUGCUUUUAUACAGGAAGAAACACUCCCUCGUGAGGGAACUUGACGGUACUGUAGGAAUAAGGAUCGGCUAACUCCGUGCCAGCAGCCGCAGUAAGAC
rnacentral:rRNA from 1 species